rnacentral:rRNA from 1 species
GACGAACGCUGGCGGCGUGCCUAAUACAUGCAAGUAGAACGCUGAAGAGAGGAGCUUGCUCUUCUUGGAUGAGUUGCGAACGGGUGAGUAACGCGUAGGUAACCUGCCUUGUAGCGGGGGAUAACUAUUGGAAACGAUAGCUAAUACCGCAUAACAAUGGAUGACACAUGUCAUUUAUUUGAAAGGGGCAAUUGCUCCACUACAAGAUGGACCUGCGUUGUAUUAGCUAGUAGGUGAGGUAAUGGCUCACCUAGGCGACGAUACAUAGCCGACCUGAGAGGGUGAUCGGCCACACUGGGAAUGAGACACGGCCCAGACUCCUACGGGAGGCAGCAGUAGGGAAUCUUCGGCAAUGGGGGCAACCCUGACCGAGCAACGCCGCGUGAGUGAAGAAGGUUUUCGGAUCGUAAAGCUCUGUUGUAAGUCAAGAACGGGUGUGAGAGUGGAAAGUUCACACUGUGACGGUAGCUUACCAGAAAGGGACGGCUAACUACGUG